UGACACUUCACCCAGCUGAUGUCAGGCUACCUGCUGCUUACGUUACUUAUUUUUCUAUUUAGACAGGGUCUCCUGUAGUUCCCGCUAGCCUCAGCCUGACUCCACGUGUUUCCCUCCCAAGUGCUGGAGGUGGCAGAUGAGCGGCACAGUGCCUGGCUGUGUUGACUUUUGAAGAAGGCAGCUGUUUUCUCUGCGGGCAGGAAGGUGGCAGCAGGACGUGUAGGUGUGUUGCUAUGACACCGUGUGUUGCUGUUGUCACGUAACUUCUCUGAAGUCAUAGAUGGCGAGUUAGAUUCUGUGACACAAAGGGAAGCGUGUCUGACUAAUCAUUCCCACACUGCCUUCACUUCUGAGGGCUCCCUGGCCUGGGAGAGUUUGAGCAGAAGUGGUUCCCAGUGGGAAAGUGCGAACUUCAGGAUGGGCCGUGUGGAGACCUCUGGGGCUGAGACGUGACUAACACAUUUCCAUGCUGAAGGAUGUGGCGGACUGGCAAGGGACUAGAAUAAGAGAUGACGUUUAAUCAUCGGUUCCUGUGUGUGAGGGGUUGGUGUUUGUAUGUGGAAGCUGAGGAGGACUCGGACUGGAACUUUCUGUCUCUGCCUCUGAGCUCUGGGAUCACAGCUGUCAACCACCACACUCGGUUUACCUCGUGAGCUCUAGAGAAGCACCCUGCCAACUGUGGUGAAUGCUACCCCUUGAAAUUCUCUUUCCUGUUCUAUUAAGUGACAGGUAGCUAGGAUGGACGGAUAUGCUAAAUUUAUCCCUUUCUAGUAAAACAUGAUGUUUUAUGGAAAAGUACAAAAAUACAAGUAUUAAUGAAUUAAAGACAUCUUGCUAUUUCCUUAUAUUACUUUUAUAUUCAUUAACACAGAAAAAUAUCUAUAUAUUUCUAUAUACUGUAUA
rnacentral:lncRNA from 1 species